rnacentral:rRNA from 1 species
CAGCCGCCGCGGUAAUACGGAGGGUGCAAGCGUUAAUCGGAAUUACUGGGCGUAAAGCGCACGCAGGCGGUCUGACAAGUCAGAUGUGAAAUCCCCGGGCUUAACCUGGGAACUGCAUUUGAAACUGUCAGGCUGGAGUCUUGUAGAGGGGGGUAGAAUUCCAGGUGUAGCGGUGAAAUGCGUAGAGAUCUGGAGGAAUACCGGUGGCGAAGGCGGCCCCCUGGACAAAGACUGACGCUCAGGUGCGAAAGCGUGGGGAGCAAACAGGAUUAGAUACCCGCGUAGUCCCUGUCUCUUAUAC